rnacentral:lncRNA from 1 species
AGGCUGAAACACGAGCUCUGGAGACUGUCAUUUGCACUUGUGUCUAGAAGUGCCUGUCUUCUGACUAUCGUAUUCUUCCAUGGAGCACCGGGGUGGCAGAUCUCCAGGAGAACCCAUUCUGCCUUUCAUUGAGGUUGCCUUCCAUCCUGGAGUCAAGUUCUGCCCAACAUCACAGGAUUUAGUUGCCUCCUUCACUCCUUUUUGGCUACUAGGCUACUAUUCUAUAUACUAAGUAUCGCACUCUGAGUCUUCCUGGCCAAUAUAACUGGAUUGAGAAGCACCUAAAAGAUAGAUCUUUGGAACCUUCAUGAAACUACUUCCAUGUUGGAAUGUGGAAUUUGGGGAACUUGAAUCUGUAUUUCCUGGCUGUGACCACUCUCAUAUUUUGCUCCAGAAUAAACUAUCUCCUAUCUCUUUUGAGAAUCUCUGGACUCAUUAAACAGUACCAGUGCCUGGGCCAGCAAGAUGGAUGGCUUGGUGGGUAAAGGUGCCUGCUACAGAGCCUGAGGAUGCCAGCCCAACCCCUGGAACCCACACGGUGGAAGAAAACUAACUUUAACAAGCUGUCUUUUGAUGUCCACAUGUGAGUUGAGGUGUGAGCCCCCCUCCUUAGCUAAACAGACCUAUGUAAUAAAAAAGUAAUUCAAACCAA